rnacentral:misc_RNA from 1 species
UACAGAAGAAGGUGUUGAUAAACAAGUUCGCGGAAAGUUGGGUUAUGAUUUACCAGGGUCCAUGCCCAAUCGUGGAAGGCCUAUUAUUCGAACAAAAUGCCUGAGAAUUGCACCCACUGGUAGGAACUUUUCUGUGGCAACAACGGAAGGAGUUCUAGUUUAUUCAAUUGAUGAAUCUUUUAUCUUUGAUCCCACGGAUCUUGACAUAGAUGUUAC